rnacentral:misc_RNA from 1 species
UCUCCGUUGGUGAACCAGCGGAGGGAUCAUUACCGAAGUUACCUUCAAAACCCACUGUGAACCUUACCUCUUGCCGCGUUGUCUCGGCGGGAGGCGGUGUGCGUCGCGCGCCCUAGCGGGCCGCGCCGCUCCCGUCCCCGCCGGCAGCGCCAAACUCUAAAUGCACAGCGGACUGUACGUUCUGAUUUACAAAAAAAACAAGUUAAAACUUCCAACAACGGAUCUCUUGGUUCUG